rnacentral:rRNA from 1 species
UACGAAGGGGGCUAGCGUUGCUCGGAAUCACUGGGCGUAAAGGGUGCGUAGGCGGGUCUUUAAGUCAGGGGUGAAAUCCUGGAGCUCAACUCCAGAACUGCCUUUGAUACUGAAGAUCUUGAGUUCGGGAGAGGUGAGUGGAACUGCGAGUGUAGAGGUGAAAUUCGUAGAUAUUCGGAAGAACACCAGUGGCGAAGGCGGCUCUCUGGACCGUAACUGACGCUGAGGCGCGAAAGCGUGGGGAGCAAACAGG